AGGGAUCAUUACCGAGUUCAUGCCCUGACGGGUAGACCUCCAACCCUAUGUUAUAUUACCUUUGUUGCUUUGGCGGGCCGCCCGGCUUCGGCCAGGCUACCGGCUCCAGCUGGUAAGCGCUCGCCAGAGGACCCUCAACUCUGAAUAUCAGUGUCGUCCGAGUACUAUAAAAUAGUUAAAACUUUCAACAACGGAUCUCUUGGUUCUGGCAUCGAUGAAGAACGCAGCGAAAUGCGAUAAGUAAUGUGAAUUGCAGAAUUCAGUGAAUCAUCGAAUCUUUGAACGCACAUUGCGCCCCUUGGUAUUCCGAGGGGCAUGCCUGUUCGAGCGUCAUUACAACCCUCAAGCACUGCUUGGUAUUGGGCUCCGCUGGCUCCAGCGGGCCUUAAAAUCAGUGGCGGCGCCGUUUGGGCUCUGAGCGUAGUAAAUAUCCUCGCUAUAGAGACCGACGGUUCUUGUCAUCAGCCCCCAACUUUCUAAGUUUGACCUCGGAUCAGGUAGGGAUACCCGCUGAACUUAA
rnacentral:misc_RNA from 1 species